UAUAUACAAUAUAUAUAUAUAUAUAUAUGCGUGCGUGCAUGUGUGUUCAUUGCGUGACGUAACGUUCGACGUGUCGUUUGGCUGCAAAUGAUAAGAUAAAAAAACACGUUUGGAAAUAACAAUGCAAAAAUUUCAAUGUUUGUAACGAUCACGUUUACGCUCAUGAUCAGCCGGCUAUGGCGAUCACGAAGUCGCCAAUCGAUCCUCGUGCCUUGUUUCAUUUCAACCUAGUACAUAUCACGGUAACAGUAAUUGACCUAUUCAACAGCGGAUUGUAAAUGGAUGUGGAAGUAGAACACCUACCGGUAUACAUGUAUUUCCUACAUUGUAGCGAAAGAAUGCAACUUGCCUCAACUCGAUUCUCCCACAAUUUCAACGAUAUAUUGAUUUUAAUUAAACCAGAGAGGGGAAGAAGAAGAAGAAGAAGAAGAAAAACGUCGAUUAAGCGACAAAUUAUCAUUUCAUUAAUAUAAUUUCGUGGUAAUUUCAUUUAGGAGACCUUAGUAGUCCUGUUUGGCUUUUAAAUAUUAACUCCUCGUUCAUUCUCUCUGUUUACAAGUCUCGCUAUAUAUACCGUUUAUAUAAGAGAUGGUUUACACAAAUUAAGCAUAUUAGCGGGAAACGUAUGACAAUAUUAGAUCAAAGUUUAAUUUCCAAAAUUGAAACUGCGAAAAACAAGUCGAUUCGUGAAUUGAUUACGUUAUUAAUUUUCACGAUUUUCUUUUUUAACGCGAUCAGUGGAGACUUUUUCUUCUUCUUCCUCUUCUUCUUUUCCUUUCUUUUCUUUUCGAAGAAUUUCGUUUUCCGCUUUAAUCAUCGUGGAUAAUUUUUCUCUUCAAUCUGUCGAAAAAGAGGAAAACAGGAAAGAAGAAUCGAAAAACUUUUCCUUCUCUCGUCUCGUCUCGAAGACAAAGAAGCAUCGACAAUUUAUACUGGCAAAACUGGUUCUCCGGAAUAUGAAUCUUCCUGUUAUUCCUUCGAACGAGUCACGUGUUUUCGUUUGAUGUCGCGUUAGAAAAAAAAAAAAAGAAAAAUUGAUCUUUGAUCGUCGAUGAAAAUGUUCGUUUUUUUCGCAGCUACUCGUUAAUGGAACACACGAUCGAUCAUCGAUCAUGGACGAAGAAUCCGUGAAGAUCCCGAAGGACGCUUUCCAAAAUUCGCUUACAUCCGAUCAUUGUUAUACGUGAACGUACAACGAAAACAGAUUCGAUUAGGUUCUCGGCUUGUUCGAGGACAAUCGAGGAAUCACAGAUACACGUAAUCUGUUAUGAAACAGAAACCAAUCAGUGUACAAAGUCAACUAAGCAAAUAGUUUUGAGAACCUCUUUUCACGGAACAAUAGCAUGCCAGUUCGUUGCAAGCUCAAGUUACUUAAGUUUGAUAAAGAAAAAGAAAA